rnacentral:rRNA from 1 species
UAGGGAAUCUUCCGCAAUGGGCGAAAGCCUGACGGAGCAACGCCGCGUGAGUGAUGAAGGUCUUCGGAUCGUAAAACUCUGUUAUUAGGGAAGAACAAAUGUGUAAGUAACUAUGCACGUCUUGACGGUACCUAAUCAGAAAGCCACGGCUAACUACGUGCCAGCAGCCGCGGUAAUACGUAGGUGGCAAGCGUUAUCCGGAAUUAUUGGGCGUAAAGCGCGCGUAGGCGGUUUUUUAAGUCUGAUGUGAAAGCCCACGGCUCAACCGUGGAGGGUCAUUGGAAACUGGAAAACUUGGGUGAAGAAGGGGAAAGUGGAAUUCCAUGUGUAGCGGUGAAAUGCGCAGAGGUAUGGAGGAACACCAGUGGCGAGGACGACUUUCUGGUCUGUAACUGACGCUGAUGUGCGAAGGCGUGGGGAUCAAACAGA